rnacentral:rRNA from 1 species
UGGGGAAUUGUUCGCAAUGGGCGCAAGCCUGACGACGCAACGCCGCGUGGAGGAUGAAGGUCUUCGGAUUGUAAACUCCUGUUGAUCGGGACGAAAAGCUUCAACCUAAUACGUUGAAGACUGACGGUACCGGUUGAGGAAGCCACGGCUAACUCUGUGCCAGCAGCCGCGGUAAUACAGAGGUGGCAAGCGUUGUUCGGAAUUACUGGGCGUAAAGGGCGCGUAGGCGGCCUCCUAAGUCGGACGUGAAAGCCCCAGGCUUAACCUGGGAACUGCGUCUGAUACUGGGAGGCUUGGAUUCGGGAGAGGGAUGUGGAAUUCCAGGUGUAGCGGUGAAAUGCGUAGAUAUCUGGAGGAACACCGGUGGCGAAGGCGGCAUCCUGGACCGAGAUCGACGCUGAGGCGCGAAAGCUAGGGGAGCAAACAGGAUUAGAUACCCGUGUAGUCCCUGAGCGGGCUGGCAAGGCGCAU